rnacentral:rRNA from 1 species
AAAUUGAAGAGUUUGAUCAUGGCUCAGAUUGAACGCUGGCGGCAGGCCUAACACAUGCAAGUCGAACGGUAACAGGAAGCGCUUGCUGCUUCGCUGACGAGUGGCGGACGGGUGAGUAAUGUCUGGGAAACUGCCUGAUGGAGGGGGAUAACUACUGGAAACGGUAGCUAAUACCGCAUAACGUCGCAAGACCAAAGAGGGGGACCUUCGGGCCUCUUGCCAUCGGAUGUGCCCAGAUGGGAUUAGCUAGUAGGUGGGGUAACGGCUCACCUAGGCGACGAUCCCUAGCUGGUCUGAGAGGAUGACCAGCCACACUGGAACUGAGACACGGUCCAGACUCCUACGGGAGGCAGCAGUGGGGAAUAUUGCACAAUGGGCGCAAGCCUGAUGCAGCCAUGCCGCGUGUAUGAAGAAGGCCUUCGGGUUGUAAAGUACUUUCAGCGGGGAGGAA